UGUAACCGUAUUAAUAGGCUGUUUAUUUUUUAAUAGCAAAUUACGAAAUAAUAUUUGCUUUAAAUGACACAUCCUUGCACGCGCGUAAUACUUUUCCCCAAUAAAAUGAGUAUUUUUCUCGAAAGCUAAAUUCCCAUAAGAAAAUUAACCUUACGGUAUGAACAAAUCUAUUAUUAAAUGUCGCGACAAUGUGCAAGGUUUUAACAUAAAAAUAAAUCACACAUUUUGAGUUAUUAAGGAGAGUAGUUCACAGAGAAACGCAAGUGUUCUUCAGCACAGCGACUGAGGGGGACUCGGACGGGUCCAAACGUUGCCACUAAAGUUAAAUAAAUAAAUAAUAAAAAUAACACUUUGGAAUGGCAGUAUUUUAUUUGUGAUUUGCAGUGCGCGUUGAGCAUGUUUACGAUCUAUGCAUAUGUUUUGAAGUCUCCGCGCAAUAUUUCGGUGUAACGAAAAAUAGUUGAUUUAAAAAACAUUUUACGAGCGGUUUCAAACUGCCCAUUUCGGGUCCUGACGUGACGGUUUCAAGUCACCCUUUCCCGCUCCUCUCCUCCCUUCCCCUCCCCUCCUGUUCAAGCAAAGGGAGAAAAAGACAAAAAUAGUAACGAGUGGAGAGGAAAAAAGGGCAAUAUAUGAAUGUUACAGCAAAGGGGGUACUCGUUUGGUUUGAACUUCAGCCGAAUGCCGUUUCUGCCCCCUCCUUCCCCUUCUCGUCCUCGCUUUCCAAAGUGAAAGGAGUGCAACUUUUUUGGAGGACACUGGAUUGCUCCCAGUUCGGCCGAAGAACGAGCGGGAAGAAAGGGGCCGACGGAUGUGAGGACUGGGGGAGGGUGGCGCUCUGGGAGGAAGGGGGGAAGGAGAGAACGGAGGAAGGAAUGAAUGCGGCAGCGGACAACAUGGCUGCCUGAACCCGGGAACAGCCGACGGAGAGGCAAUCGGCGACACUCUGGCCUCUCGACACCGUUUCAUUCGCCCGCUUUUCUAACCUUGCAAGGGACAGAUGUAUUUGAUUUGCUUCGAAUAAAAUGUCGGCAGUGACCAGACGACUUGACUUCCUUCCCACAGGAGCAUUCGGACGCCCGGCGCGUGUGGACGCGACUGUCUGCUGCCGUUUCUUGAGCCACGCAAAUUUCGUGUUAUCGUUCCCUAAAUGAAAAGGUGUGAAAUGGGUUUCAUAUAGAUCAGCAGCAGUAAGGGAUCACAGCGCAGUGUCACAUUCUAGCAGUCCAUGAAAAUGAUGGGCAAUACAUAAUGUGGGCCAAGUGUUUUGAUGACAAGAAGCCUUCUAACAACAUCAGAUGCAGCUUGUUCUUCGCCCUGCACUGCUGCAUGGUGUUUCAUGCCAUGAUUUAAGGGACUCUUUGUGGGGAGCCCCUUAAAGGCCUGACAUCACUACACUUGAGAAUCCAUCUCUUCUGGCCAGUACCUUGUCAAUUAACAGAACACGGAGGAAAGGCAUUCAGCAGUAAAGGAUCACACUGAAAACAUUUAUGAUGGGACAGCAGCCAUGUUUUCUGCAGCCAGUUACAUUGGCUGCACAGUCGAGAUGUUGCGGAUUUCUGACAAAAAUGGACAUCUGAAAUUCUACCAAGUUACCGGAGAAAUCCAGAUUCCACCAAAUGGACCAGAUGCACUGAAUUACACAAACCAGUUCAAGGGGAAAACAGUGGAUUGAUAGCAACCAGAAGACAAGUUGUUAAACACAGUAAAUGGUGUUUAAUGGAAAAAACAGAUGUGUUUUUUGCAGGUCAAAGCGACUCUGACUCCGAAGCCUGCAUAGGCAACUGAAAUAAUGCACCAUCUGAACUUCCCCAUUUUACUGCUCGGGUGUUUGCUGAGCAGCUAAAGCCCUAAAUCUGGAUCUGAUUAAUGGUUACCAGACAGUCCACAAGGGAAAAAACCUUAUUACUUACCUUACACUGUCCAUUUCUAUCAAGUAUUUAUUUUUUAAACCCAGCCUCCCAGAAAGACUUACAAUAAUGUUUCCAGUGCGUUAUCAUUUAUUUGUUUAUUUUCUCUAUUUCCCCAAUGCUCUUAUUCUAGGCAGUCAUCAAUCUAUGUGUCAGUGUUUUAGACAUUGUUACACUGGCCUUAGAAAUUCAUGUCUGAUAUUAAGUUACUCAGUUAAAACACAAACACACCAUUGUAGAACAUAUUUAUACUGUUGGAGUGUAAAUCGGAUUGGGUUCAAUCAAAGUCAGCCACAAAAGUGUCAUUUCUAAUUUUGUUUCCUACCAAAUUCUUCUAGCAACUGAUACAUGAAUAUUGGUGCUGAGUCAACUCUGAAAUUUAAUUUUAUUGUGCUUGAACCCUCUAAUCUCAUAAAUUGUCAAAAUUGUUUAAAUGAUCAAAAUUAUACUGUGCAGAUACUUCAGAAAGUGACAACAUUUUGAGUCUGGCCAAGAGCUGAAGGGACCUUGAUGGCUGAAUCAUGUACGAAAGGAUUGCCAAGAGACUUUGGACAAACUGUAUGAAUGUACCAUUCCUCUGCUUGCUUCUGUUCAUCAUACCCUUGUUUACCCUUUUGAACUGCACUGCAAUAAAAGGACAGCUGGCAUCCAGUGUAGAUUUACAACCUGUAGUUGUCCUGACUGUCAGAAUUCACAGGCUCAC